rnacentral:lncRNA from 1 species
AAUAAAAUUGGAAUUUUAAGUUUGUUGUGGUGUUUUCUUGCUGUAUGCGUACGUGUGCUGUUACGUACGUUAUGUGGUGUGAGUGUGGACUCUUUGGUUUGGAGAUAUGGCUGUGGGAGUUGGCUUAUAACGGGUCUAUUAUAUAUGGUAUUGGCCUUGGUUUGGUAUGGAACUAUGGAGGCUUUGGGAUCAUUGGCAACUAUGAUUUUAGGUAUCAUGGUGCAAAUUUGUUUGAGAUCAAGGAGAUGGGAAAUGCAAAAUACAUCAGGACAUGAUGAAGACGUUCUUGAAUUCUCCUCUUUUGGGGGUACAUCCAUUAAGACAAGUUAGAGGGCUUUAUAUAGUAUUGUUUACCCUUUGUGGAUUAUAUGAAUUAAUUAAUGGGUUGUCUUUGGUAGGCCUAGUUGCUAGAGAUAAAUUAAGAUGGACUUAUGGUCUUCGUGAUAAGUUUCUUUGUCAUGAUAUCUGUAAAUAUUUAGAUACACUGAAAUGGUCUUAUGGG